ACGCCUACGGGAGGCAGCAGUAGGGAAUCUUCCACAAUGGACGAAAGUCUGAUGGAGCAACGCCGCGUGAGUGAAGAAGGGUUUCGGCUCGUAAAGCUCUGUUGGUAGUGAAGAAAGAUAGAGGUAGUAAUUGGCCUUUAUUUGAAGGUAAUUACUUAGAAAGUCACGGCUGGCUACGUGCCAGGAGCCGCGGGAAUACGUAGGGGGCAAGCGGUGUCCGGAGUUAUUGGGCGGAAAGCGAGUGCAGGCGGGU
rnacentral:rRNA from 1 species